GACGGGGCCCGCACAAGCGGUGGAGCAUGUGGUUUAAUUCGACGCAACGCGAAGAACCUUACCAGGGCUUGACAUCCCCUGACCGCGUAUGAAAGUACGUUUUCACCCUCGGGUGACAGGGAGACAGGUGGUGCAUGGUUGUCGUCAGCUCGUGUCGUGAGAUGUUGGGUUAAGUCCCGCAACGAGCGCAACCCCUACGUUUAGUUGCUAACGCGUGAAGGCGAGCACUCUAGACGAACUGCCGUUGACAAAACGGAGGAAGGUGGGGAUGACGUCAAAUCAUCAUGCCCCUUAUGUUCUGGGCUACACACGUGCUACAAUGGCCGGUACAGACGGACGCAAAGCCGCGAGGUGGAGCAAAUCCUAAAAAGCCGGUCUCAGUUCGGAUUGGAGUCUGCAACUCGACUCCACGAAGUUGGAAUCGCUAGUAAUCGCGGAUCAGCACGCCGCGGUGAAUACGUUCCCGGGCCUU
rnacentral:rRNA from 1 species